rnacentral:misc_RNA from 1 species
CAACCAUCGCCGCGCCGCCCAUGGCCACUCCAACGGCUAUGAAGCGCUCGCUGUGAACCCCGUGCCGCUCGAUCACGCGAGCUGCCCGCAGGGCGACAUCGUCACCCGCGCGAAGUUCGUCGAGGCGCUGGAGCUCGGCGAACAGCACGGCUACCGCAACGCGCAGACCACCGUGGUCGCGCCGACCGGCACCAUUGGCCUUGUG